UACGAAGGGGGCUAGCGUUGCUCGGAAUCACUGGGCGUAAAGCGCACGUAGGCGGGUUCUUAAGUCAGGGGUGAAAUCCUGGAGCUCAACUCCAGAACUGCCUUUGAUACUGGGAAUCUCGAGUCCGGGAGAGGUGAGUGGAACUGCGAGUGUAGAGGUGAAAUUCGUAGAUAUUCGCAAGAACACCAGUGGCGAAGGCGGCUCACUGGCCCGGUACUGACGCUGAGGUGCGAAAGCGUGGGGAGCAAACA
rnacentral:rRNA from 1 species